rnacentral:rRNA from 1 species
UACGGAGGGGACUAGCGUUGUUCGGAAUUACUGGGCGUAAAGCGCACGUAGGCGGAUUUGUUAGUCAGGGGUGAAAUCCCGAGGCUCAACCUCGGAACUGCCUUUGAUACUGCAAAUCUCGAGUCCGGAAGAGGUGAGUGGAGUUCCUAGUGUAGAGGUGAAAUUCGUAGAUAUUAGGAAGAACACCAGUGGCGAAGGCGGCUCACUGGUCCGGUACUGACGCUGAGGUGCGAAAGCGUGGGGAGCAAACAGG